rnacentral:misc_RNA from 1 species
GAUGAAGAACGCAGCGAAAUGCGAUAAGUAAUGUGAAUUGCAGAAUUCAGUGAAUCAUCGAAUCUUUGAACGCACCUUGCGCCCUUUGGACAUUCCGAAGGGCAUGCCUGUUUGAGUAUCAUGAACACCUCAACUCUCACGGCUUGUCCGUGAUGAGCUUGGACUUUGGGGGUCUUGCCGGCCUGUGGUCGGCUCCUCUCAAAUGGAUCAGCUUGCCAGUGUUUGGUGGCAUCACAGGUGUGAUAACUCUCUGCGCUUGUGGUUUUCCAUCAGAUAACCUUCAGUGAUAUGGAGGUUCGCUGGAGCUCACAAAUGUCUCUCCUUAGUGAGGACAGCUCUUUGAACGUUUGAUCUCAAAUCAGGUAGGACUACCCGCUGAACUUAAGCAUAUCAAUAAGCGGAGGA